rnacentral:lncRNA from 1 species
AUUUGUUAUGUAAAAUAUAAUGAUUUCAUGAGAUUCAUUUGUUGGGUUUGACUAGUUGAAAUUAUCUUUUUUGAAAAUGAUCUAUGUUAUCCAUGCCGUUUUUCUCAUUCACUUUCCAUGGAUUUAUGUGAUAAACCGUUUUUGGGAUCUGAUACACUUGCAUUCUGUUUGAAUGCUGGGAAUCUUUGAAAAAAGGAGGCAAUUUAAAGUCCAUGUCUUGGAAAACCAGUUAUCUUUACACACUGUUAUAUUAUUUAGGAUUUCUCAUGAAAAUACAUUCAUAAACAUAGAUCAGGAAUGUCAGUUAAUGCCACUAAAUGAGUAGCAUAAGUUUGAAAUUUUUAUUUUAGUCUGAAAUCACCUUCUUAACCUCCACUUCAGACAGGAUCAAGAUUUUUAAGAUUAACCUGAUGCUACCUUCACUAACGAAAAUUCAUGUCGAUAUUGCAUCAGUGCUUGAUCUUUGAUGCUUGUGACUUAAGACUUUUGGAUACCUAGGCACCACACAAUAAUAUUCUGGGUCACUUGGAUUGUGUGAUGUCAUGAUUUCAUCAAGAAGUGUCAGCACUUUGCCAUGGCCUUUUGGAUUGUUCUGCUAAAAUGUAUUUCAAAGCAUCCAAACCCCCCGUAUUUGUACCCUUAUCAAUGCAUUAUAGGACAGUGAAGAGACACGCCAGUAAACCCAUAUAUAAUUAGCUUUGAGAUGUAAAUUGCAUUCUUAAAAAGUAGCUAUUGGGUAAUGAUUUGUGUGCAUUAUUAUAUGCCAUUACCAAGUUCAGAUGAUUACAUUUAUACCAGACACAUUAUGUAUCGAGUUUGCAAUUUACUGUAAUUCCUGCAAGGAUUAUGUCUGUGGUUAUAUGUGAUAAAGGCAAUUCUGCUAAAGUUGAUUACAAUUUUGUCAAAAAGAAAGUUUGGGUAAGAUCAUCAAGGUUUGACAGGGUUUCAAAUUAUUGUAUUCAUUGAUGUCUUGGAAAGUACAAUAUAAGUUAUUGAUGCAUACACAUGUGCACAUGUUUAUUGUGCGAUAACUUGAUGAAUGAUAAUUAUUUAAGUUAAAAAUAUCCAGAGUAUUUUACAUCUAAAAUUACGUGAUGAAGUCCCCCCCCCCCCCCCCCCCCGCCCGAAAAAAGGAGAGAGAAAAGUUGAAUGCAUGGAAAGUUGUAUAAGCACCUAGAGCUUGUAUUUUUGGUGAAACAUCUCUAGUUAUAUAACUACUGCUGCAAGAGAAAAUCUCAGUUGAGAAUAAAUUUCAAAACAACGAGCUAUUAGACAUGAGAUAGUAUGUUAAUCUAAAUCCUCUGGUUCACCUCAAAGUCAAUGUGAUCCCAUGUGAAUUUUCCUUAAAAAAAUGGAUAGAGUUUGGAUGGAAUAAUCGGAUGAAAAGUAGAGCUGUAAAAUUGGGGAGUAAAGUUCUAUCACAAGGAUGAAUUACAUCUAGUGUGAAAAUGGUACAAUUUUUAUUCAAAGCUUCAACAUUCUCCAAAUGAAAAUAUUUCUUGAGGGUGUCUAGGAACCAGCAUGGAGAAAGACAUCGAACUUGAUUUUUGGUCCUUUUAAAAUUUAAAAGCCUCCUUGCUCUUUGUUAAGCUUAAAGCAACCAUUGAUGCAGAGUCUUCUUAUGCCAUGCCAGAUUGACCACUUCGAUGGGAAAAUAAACAAAAUAACAGAGGACAUAAUCAAUUACUUUAUUAGUCCUCAGAAUCAUAUAGUUUUAGAACUUCUUGAAGUUCGAGUAUUUUAUGAUCUGUCUGGGUAAGACCUUAGUUUGUGCUGUUAUUUUUUUUUUGUUAAAUUCUUAAAAUCAAAGAUUAGUUGCAUGCAUUUCUUCCACCUUUUGUUCUUAUGUGAAUAUAGUAGUAAUUGGUGGUUAAAAUCUAAUUACUCACAUAUAGUAGUGAAUAUGCAAUUUAAUGAAUAAGAAAAUGCUUGAAAGGGUGACUGCUUGAGUAGAUUGAUGGGCGAUUCCUUCUUGCCUUUUUGAAGGAACCAUUUGGUGCCUAAAGACAAGCCUUUUCUAGGAAGGUCUUAGUACUGGGAAGAGUUGAAGCGACUUAAGAGAUAAGACUCCAAAAGAAGUAACUGUUAUGGACAGGACCAUAGCCUACCACAACCUUUUAUUCAUUGUGCCAUGUUCUCAGAUUUGCUUCUCAUUGUCCAAUCUGUUCUUCAUUCUGCCUGGGUCUCUAUCAUCUCCACAAAAGGAUUACUGGCUGUUGUGUUUCUUUUCCCAUAUACAUUGAGUGCACUUCUCAAAGGUGUGAGUAGCUUUGAGCUGGGGAGCUGGGAAUGUGUGGUCUUCCGUCACUCAAAGAUGAGAUUCUUAUGUUGCCAGAAGUAAAAUGAGACAAAGUUGGAUGCCACAUGAAGCUAGACUCAGAAGCUUUCACGUUAUAUUCAUAUAUUUGCACCGACCUUUUAUCUAAUUAUUAAAUAAAUUAGAAAAUAUGGAAUGUAUUAAGUAUUUACUUGCUCUGAUAAAUGAUGUCAUUAUUCAGGAGUGCUAACAUAGAUCCUCAGAUUAGAGUCUCGAUGAACUUCGAUUUUCUUAGGUUUAAGUGUACAUAGCUUUGAAAAUCUCUUUGCAGAAUCUGUUGGUGACUUGUUAUUGCCAUUAAUGAAGGGAUUUAAAAAGCUGACCUAACGAUCAACGAUGUUCAUUUAGAAAUGGAUACCAAAGUAAAUAGGUGAAUAAUUUCUUUUAACUGUUAUUUCAUUAUGGUUUCAGAUUUGUUGAUUAUUUGAUAUGCUCUGUUGUUGCAGUAUGGACCCAUUGUUGAUAUUGAUCUGAAGAAUCCUCCAAGGCCUCCGGGUUAUGCAUUCAUUGAGGUAAUGCUAUCUCAUUUUGAAAUACAUUGUUAAAAUGUGCAAUGUUAAGAAUAUGGGCGUGUUGUGUUGUGUAGUUGCAGCCUUUUCUGUUCGCACAUCCAGAUAACAAAAAAUAAUUGGGCUGUUGUCAGAAUGAUGUAUUUACUAUGUAUAAGUUGGUUUUUGUCAUGGGAACUUAGUAUGUUUCAAGGCUUAUACUACAUGACACUUUCAUUUCUUGCAGUUUGAAGAUGCUCGUGAUGCUGAACAUGCUAUUCGUGGUCGUGAUGGUUACAAUUUUGAUGGUCACAGAUUACGGGUAUCAUAUUUGGCAAAUACUGAUAUGUUAUUAACAGACUUUUCUGUGGCUAAGAUUUCCUUCACCUUGUUUCGUCUUUAAUGCAGGUGGAAUUUCCACACGGUGGAAGAGGCUAUUCUUUUUCUGUGGACCGUUACAGCAGUUAUAGUCGUGGCGGAGUCUCGAGGCGGUCCGCAUACUGUGGUAUGUGGUUAAAUAUGUAGUGUUAUUUGCUCCUUUUUUAGCAUUUCUUGGAUGAUACAUGCAUUUUUUUAAACUUUCUAAUAUAUAUAUAACCAUGCAGUGCUGGUUACUGGUUUACCUUCUUCUGCCUCAUGGCAAGACCUGAAGGUAGAUUUCAAAUGGCAUGUGCAAUUUCACCUUAUUUUUCAUCUCUCAUCUUGAAUAUGCUUACUUUAAGUUUUUACCCAUUGACUAGGACCACAUGCGUCGUGCUGGUGAUGUCUGUUUCUCCGAAGUGUUUCGUGAUGGUGGAGGUAAGCUGCUGAUUCUCCUUUACUUUUGCCCUGGGUCUGUUUCUUAUUCUAAUUGUUACAUGCUACAUUUGUUAGGGUGAUGUUUUCUGAAUUGGCAUAGUAUUAGGUUCUCUGACUGCAUAUGAUGCUUGCUAUUUACAUUUGAAUACUGAUACAUGCAUGCAGUCAUCUUUCACUAAAUAUAGAUAUACUAUAAAAUUAUUGGCUUCCUUUCUUCUUGAUAUAUGAUAGCUGACACCAGAGUGGGAUGACUUAUGAUCUAGGGAAUGUGGUCUAAUUUCCAGGCAGGACAGUCAGCUCACAUUGUGAUCAUAAUAUUAUAUUUUUCGAUAUUUUGUUUCUAAAGGAAGUUGGUGAAAUGUGUGAUAUUUUUUAAGGACUUGCCCUGUAGCAUUCUUGGAUUCUUGUUUACAACCUGGAAUAUUUAAUAAAAUCCAGAAAAAUUCACUUUGCAGUCUUGAUAAUCAUUUGAUUAGUUUUUAAGGUAUGAAAUUAAUUAACAUGAGAGUAACUGAUAAAACUCAAAUGAACUUUUAUGUUCCUAUGGAUUUUUUAUCAUUUCUUCUGAAUUUUACUCAAAUUGGUGCUUGCUAGUUUUGCAUCUUUAUAUUUCUGCCAGCUACUUUUUCAGAAAAAAAUAUCAAGCCAUAUGAGUGCAGUCUUACAAUACUUGACUUUUUCCCUUGUCUAUAGCUGGAAGGCAUUUUCAUGUAUGCGAGUAGCUUACUAGCUUAAAUAUGCAAACUUUAACAUUGAAAUUAAUCCUCUGGAAUUCAAUGUUUCUUGUUGGAUGGUUGCAUGAAGUUACUGGAUUUAGAACACAAUGAACCUCAUAUAUUAGCUUGCUGGUUAAUAUUAUGUUACAAAUUAAUGAUGUUACAUCUGUCAACAUUUUUUUUUGGCUUGUUGAGAUGACUUGAAUGAAUGUCAUCAGACAGUGGUUUUUAUCAGUAUGUCUGCAUAGUGACCAUAAUCAUACUGACUACCUUUUAGUGAUCCUAUAUUUCCCAUUUCAUGAAGAUGAUUGAUCUAUCUGGCUGAUUUGGCCUUUUUAACUGUUGGUACUUAUAUAGGUCGGUUUGAGCAAAUACAAACUAAUCAGAGAUAUCAUUUGAGUGCCUCAUUUGAGUCAUGAGAUAUAUUUUUGGCUUGCUAUAUUGACAUCUACAUCAGCAUGUAAAGUUUUUCUAUCAUUUUAACAUCCUAAUAAGAAGAGAGAAGAGGGGGGGGGGGAUGAUAUGAGGGAGAGGAGAACAGAUGAAGGAAGGUCUUUAAACAAGGAAAGAAAUAAAUAUAUAGAUAAUGUGCAUGCAGAAAAUACCAAUGCUAUACUAAUUGUUGCCUGAUAUCUUGAUGAGCUCAAUUUGCUAGUCCAUAAGUAUCUCAAAGUAAUCACUGCAAUAAGGUUGUGUACAUUCCAUGCAAUUUUAUUUAUUUUCUUUUGCUGUCUUUACUAAUAUUUGUUUGAUUUUAUAAAUUGCAUGUAUGUUAUCAACUGAUUUACAGUAUAUUGAUUGGUGUUGGCAUUGUCUACCAGUCAUGACUAGACUUCAGACUUGUCUUAGAAGCCUAUUUGCUUACAGUAAGACUUUAUGCUGUGCGCCUUAGCCACCUGAAUCUGGAUGAGGUCAAUGUUUUUCUCAGUCGUAGAUGGAUACUUUAUCAAUACUGGUCGGUGCAGUACAGUAAUCCUUGUACCAAUACAUGGUAAGCUGUUGGAGUCGACACAAACACCUAUUCCAUCUGUUGGAGUGGGGGAAUACUAAGUCCCACAUACUAUACUAGGUUGGCAUUGUGUGCAAUUUACUGGGUACUUUGGCACUUAAAAACCUGAAUAUGGCGUAGUGGAGAACUAUAAUUUUUUUUUGGUUGAGGAUGAUGAGAGACAUCCUAAUAAAUAAUUUAAAUAUUCUAUAAAAGCGAACAAUUAUGCUUUUUCUUGAGAGGAGGCGCAAAAUCCCCAUAUUUGGUUGGAACUUGAAGCAGGUUUCUUGUAUCAACACAAGAUAUUUCACUAACCUGUCCAUUUGGCACCAUCUUUUACAUAUAUAUGUUACAUGCAUAUAUAAAUAUAUGUUAUAUCUAUAUAUAUUUAUAUAUAGACAUGUUAUAUACAUUUAUGCAUUAUAAUAUAAAUAUUUAUAUUUUGUGUAUAUAUACAUAGUGUGUGUGCAUCUAGUGUGUCUAUAUUUCACUAACUUGCCCAGUUGACACUGUCUUUUACAUAUAUAUGAUCUGCACAUAUAUAAAUAUAUGUUACAUAUAAAAUAUAUUUAUAUAUAGAUAUAUGGGACAUUUAUGUAUAUAUAUACAUUUAUGUGUUAUAAUAUAAUAUUUAUAUUAUGUGUAUAUACAUAGCAUGUGUAUCUACGUAUACAUAUAUAUAUACAUAUAUCUGUGGUAUCUCUCUCUCUCUCUCUCUAUCUAUCUAUCAAUCUAUCUAUCUAACUAUAUGUUAUUCAUGUAUCCAUAUAUGUUCAUUUAUAGGGAUGGAUUAGGCUUCUCCGAAGAGGAGAGGGUGUGUACACCUUUCAGGUUGAAAAUCAAUAAUCAAGAAUUUAAAUUGAAGAUCCACUCCAUUGAUCAUUAUCUAUACUCCUAGAAAUGCCUAGAAACCAAAAAUCACGUGUUCUGACAGACUCUAACCUAUGCAUCAAGUGGGUGCAAAAAUGUAUGGUUAAAAUGAUAUUAGACGAUGUGUUGCUAUGAUCGAAACAUCAAACUCUAAUAUUUUUUAAUAUAUACAUGUUUUAGCAUAUGAAUAAGGUGGAUUCUCAAUAUAAAUGCUGUAUCUUGUUUUUCAGCAUGCUAUGACAAUGAAAACCAUCAAUUUUAUGUCUGCUUAAUAUGUAGGUUAGGGACCGCAAAACACAUGAUUUUUUGUUUCUAGGCAUUUUAGUCAUAUAGAUCAUGCUCAACGGUGCAGACUUUUGAUUUGUGUGCUUGAUUACUGAUAUUGGACCUCAGAGGAUUAGAUACGCUCUCCUCUUAAGAGGAGACUACCCCAUAGAGAUAUUUGAUAUGUGAAUGAAAGAAGUCAAAAAACUGAAUGCUGUAUUCAUAAUUGAAAGAAGUCUGAUUUUAUGUACUAGUCAAAGUGGAUGUUGCAUUCAUAACUGAAUGUUGCAUUCAGACUAUAUGUGCUUUGAAGUUUCACGUUAAAUUUGGAAACUGAAACCUAAGGCUAUGUCUAGAUGUUGGUCAAGUGGUGGGUACUAGGAAGUUAUCUAUUUUUUUUGGGUAAAUAGGAAAUUAUCUGUUUAACCAGCCAACAACACCCAACAAUACUCAAAAAGUGGUAGUCAAAGGCUCAAAAGGGUACUUAACCAGGGUAACUUUAUCCUAUAAACAAUAGGGGCAUCAACCAAACAGUGAAUAACUUUAUUUGCUAGUUAGUGGGUGAAUAAACAUGGUUAAAUCUACUACGGGGUGAUUCGCCAUUUGGCAUCCAUACACAGCCUAAAUGAUUUGUUUUUGACCCAAUGAGUUUGAGGCUAAUUUCAAUGAAAACUAAGAUGUGGGGCUCACUCAAUAUAUUUCUUAGCUACCUAUGCUAGCCUUUUUUCUCAUUUUAUCAUUCAUUUUGUUUUGUUCUCUUUGCAGCAAUACCUUCCUCACAAAAAAUAAAGGAGAACAAAGUUUCUGGUGUAGGCUUACCUAUUUUAAGACUUGAACAUCGGGGCAUUUUUAUUGUCUUUUGUUAAAUUGUCAUUAAGCAAUAAAAUGAUAUAUUAUAUAUUUAACAUCACAUAUAUAUGUUUGUGUGUGUGUGUGUAUAUUUAAAAUUCUAACUGUCAUAAUAUGAAACUAGUGAAGCAAUACAUCUAAAGGUUCGGAAGAAUGUGAAUUUCCUUCAAAAGGUCAUGUAAUUUCUUCUGGACUUGGUUUAUUUUCCAUAUUUUAAAAUUCAGUUGAGGAUAAUUUACUGUUAUGUAGUUGCAAAUGAAGAUUAUCAAAACUAAAUCUGCAACCAUUGGAACUGCAAAAAUUUGAAUUCAUUUGGCCAGCUGAAGCCAAAACUGAUUUUCAAACCUUGGUUAUUUUAUAUAUCCUUCAGUACAAAUCUUAAAGAAUUCCCUUAAUACAUCUAUUAUUGAACCAUGACUUGCAAGAGAGAGAAGGAAAGAAUCUAAGCUUAUUUUUGUGUCCAAAUAGAAAGAAAUUAUUGACACUUCUAGUUUUUGAGAUUUCCUUUAUUUCUAUUCAACAAUUAGUGUUAUGCAUUGUUUUCCAUCUUUUACUAUUAAGUGACUUAUUUAUAUAUUUUUUUAUUGCUUCGCUGAAAUAUGAUCAUUGCUUGUUGCAAUGGUAAAUGGCUUGGGCUUACAAGCACAAUUGCAUGGGUUCUAAUCCCAAGGCAACAAUAUUGUGCAAGAAAAAUGUCAAAGAUUAGGUUUGUUCUUGGUUUGCCCCUCGUAGUAGGGAUGUGCACGAGUUAGGUCGGGUCGGUUUGGAGCUAAACCCGAAACUAACCGAUUUAAACCAUUUUCCUAAAACUGAAAUCGAACCCGAGCCAACCAUUUGAAAUUGACCCAAAAAAUUUGGUUCUGUUCAGUUUAUUGGGUUGAUAUUCACUGGGCUGGGCUAAGUCUAAACAUAAAAUUUUUUUAUAUAGGGUGGUUAUGCAACGGACUGGACUAAAUGGGCUAGGCUUAGUCUAAACNNNNNNNNNNNNNNNNNNNNNNNNNNNNNNNNNNNNNNNNNNNNNNNNNNNNNNNNNNNNNNNNNNNNNNNNNNNNNNNNNNNNNNNNNNNNNNNNNNNNNNNNNNNNNNNNNNNNNNNNNNNNNNNNNUGAAACUGAACUGAAUUUUGUAGGUUCAAGACUUUAAAACUGAAACCAAACUGAAUUUAAAAAAAAUGAUGUAAACUAAACCGAAGAGACCAGUUCGGGUUGGGUUCGUGGUUCGGCUGGUUUUUUACACACCCCUACAUUGCAGGACCUUAGAUUAUCGGAAUCAUAAAUGUGCAAUGGCCCUUUUUUGUGCUUCAAUAUGUAUUAGUGUACUAUGUGGCACAGAGUAAGCCAUAGCCUCAUCAAGAUGUGGAUUCUGUUUGGUAAUUAAUUAAGGAUUCUUUAUGUUCUUGAAUAAUGAAAAUUCAAAUUUUGAGUUGCAAAAUUAAAAUUUGAGUUUUAACUACGCUUGCAAACUUUGCUAUGAUUUGAGUUCUGUGGAUAUAAAUGUGCUUGUCUUAUGCUAAUCUGUCUGGAUUCAAAUUUAAAUUUAUUGAUUCCUUAAUUGUACAUCAAAUUGAUAUGCUGCUAUAGACCAAAUGACCGAAGAAUCCUUACUAUCCCUUUCCCCUUUCCUUUCUCCUCUCUUAUUUUACCUGCUGUAAGGGAAAUGCCUGAGGUCUUUACCUUCGGAACUAAUAAUUGUAUUGAAAUGAAUAUAUAGUAAUUGCUCCAAUGUGUGUUUGCAGGCACUACAGGCAUUGUAGACUAUACAAACUAUGAUGACAUGAAAUAUGCAGUAUGUUUCUAAUCAGUUAUAUCUUGAAAAUUUCAUUUAAAUUUAUAUUGUUUGUUAGGUAACAUAAGAACCUGAACAUCUAAAAUUUUGUUUGUCUUUAACCUCCAUGCAGAUCAGGAAACUUGAUGACUCUGAAUUCCGGAAUGCAUUUUCUCGGGCAUAUAUAAGGGUAUCACACACGCACAUACCCUUUGUAGCCCUUUUUCCUUCUCAUCAGAUGGCCUUUUCUCAUGCAAUACUGUUCUGGUGAUAUAGGUCAGGGAAUAUGAUCGGAGGCGAAGCCUAUCUAGGAGCCGCAGCCGUUCCUACUCCAGAAGCAGAAGCCCUAGCUGGAGUCGCAAUUAUAGCCAAAGCUGGAGCCACAGCCGAAGGUAUGGUGCAGAUUUUCUUGUCAUAGAUACUUUGUGUAAAUGGAUAAUCCUUAAGUUUGAGUGAAUUUAUUGUGCAGCAAGACUUCGAGAGGAAGGCCAGCAUAUCGCUCGUUUUCUAGAUCUCAAUCAAGAUCUGUUUCAUCUUGCUCUGAUUCAGGAUCGAGGGGGCGCUCUCUGUCAGGGUAUGCCUUUGUUUAGUCCGUACUGUCUAUUCAUGCCUCUGUGGAUGUGGGUUUGAGACAUUUUAAAAAAUUGGUUAUUGAAGCACGGAAUCUCUAAAUUCUGGAUUGGCCAUCCCUUUCUCUGUGCUUGUUAUUUUACCUUGUUGAUAUGCAAAUUUAUCUAUUUUGUCUUGCUUGCUAUUUUAGGCUUUUCUUGAUUACAAACAAUGAGUUUUCAGACCUUAUAGUUUAUCUUUUUUUUUUCGUCUUAAAUGUUAUUUCAUUCUUUCCUUAAUGAUAAACAGUGAGUUAUCAGAAGUUAUGGUCCAAAAUGUUGGUGUACUGCUAUUCUCAUGUCUCUGUUAUCUUGUUUCUAAGCAUUGUUCAGAGUGCAUUUCGGGAGAACAAUUAAAAUAUUUGUUGGGAUGAAAGCUUGGUGCAAGAACAUUGAAGGUGGCUCUUAGAAGGAAUAUUUAUGGCAAGUAAGGGUUCAUAAUGCUGAGCCCAAAUGGUUGGAGGAGUCCUCAAUGGUUAUUGUUAUGCGUUGAUCAAGUUUGCAAUGCUUUAAGCUAGUUAGUUAGCCAAUCAUAGGAUAACUUUAAAAGUAUUUAUUGUGCAGAUGGAGAACCUUAAGUUAUUACCUUGAUUCUGAUUCACGUCCUGCACGUGUGAUUUGUGAAGGAUGAGGAGUUCUACAUUACUUCUUCCCUAGAACUUACAUUUGACUUAGAUAUUAGGUUUUGUGUUAACUGUAUAGGAGUUACAUGCUUCAUUCCUUUGGGUAAGGAUGAUAACUUUCUUCAGAACAGAACCUGCAUAAAGGUAAUGGAUAAGCACUUGUCAAAGCUUGAUCGAGUGUUAUGUUCUUACAAUAUCAAAUGGUUGCCCCAAUUUUGAACCUUUGACACUUCCAUAUAAUUUAUGUCUUAUGAAAUCUUCGCAGCAGAACAUAAUAUUACAGUAGUCCUUCCAUUUUAUUUUUCCAAACCUUGCUAAGAAGGAGCUUAGUCACUGGCUAGAACCUAACAAAGCUAGAUUUUCCUUUUUCUUGUUUAAAUAAGUUUAGUGAGAUGACUGUCUUUUCUAUUGAAUGCGACAUUUUCAGUGAGAUGUGAGGAUCCUUUGGAGGUUGUUUUUUUAUGGGCUGAGAGAAGAUGAGAUGGCAUAAGAUAGUUGAUAGCCCUGUUGUAUUGUGUGUAACUCUGAAGUAUUUUGAAUGAACCUCAAGUUGAUAAUAAAUUCUAUAUUAUGCUUGGAAAGGAUUCAUUAAAUAAAUUUUGGAUAGUUCUAACUUUGUAGAAUUUUUGAAUCUCCUCUUCAAUGGUUUGCCAAGAUAAGUACAAAGCUACAGUUCACUCAGUUAAGUUUUGAGGAACAAUGUUGGUGUCAUUUUUUUUCAGCAAUUCAUAAUGCUGAUAUCUUACAAUAUAAAAUGGAGUGGUAGGUUAUUUAUUUAUUUUAGUAUGCUGUAAAGGGGAAUAAUAAGAACCCCUUGAAAUGUACUUAUGAUUUGUCCACAUCAACCCAAGACGGACAACUAUCAAGCUAUCUCUUGCAAGGAGAGUUUAUAGGGUUAUUGUAUUACCACUUGGCUUCUGUUUCUAUUAUUAGUUCGGGAAAUGCUACUUGCUUAGCCUAUUAUUACCUUUUCUUGACCAAACAAUAUUUUGAAACAUUCAUUUUGCAACUCUGGUUAUGGAGGGGGAAGAAGAUGAGACCAAAUUACUGUUCCAAGUGCUAUCAAUGCCUUUGUUUGGAGGGGGAAGAAGAUAAAUUGAUGCACAAGACACAGAUGAAGACAUGGGAUCAUGAUGUGGGAUAGUCAAAAAUGUGAUGUGAAAGGUGUUGUUGAUUUUGAUGCUAGAAUACAUGGAGAUGGGCAACUCAAUUUGACUGAUGAGAGCAUAUGAUAAACGUUCCACAUUUUUGAAGGAUGUUCUUCAUUUUGUUCUUUAGAUGCAGCCUGUUUGGAGGUGGCUUUGGCAUCCUAUCUUCCCUGUUUGUUGAGGCCUGGUUUGGCUGAACCUGAUCGAAUGUAUUUCGAGGGAUUGUUGUGGUUGGGGUUGGUAGAGUAAGCGAACAACUAGCAAGAUUAAUUGUUGGUAUUUUUCUAAUGCAAUUAUUUAUAUAUGGGGUUGUAUAGAUGUUAUAUACAUCAGGAUGCCUAUUCUUAUUUAAGAGGGGAGCAUGUGGAUGGUUAGAAAAAAAUACCCUACGAAUAGUGUUGUAAACCUUAGAUGAACCAAGUUGACACUAAUCAAGUCAAGCUGGCGAAAGGCCUGCUUGAGCGCCUUUGGAUUAAUCCGGAGUUCAAGUUGGUUGGCACUGUUCAGCCUCUGAAUAUGGAGAGAGAUGUCCUUCUGCAGCCACCGUAGCUCUCUACCAACUUUGCCCACACCUUUGGCCAUGCUACUGCUGCUAUUGCUUGCUGCUUUUGCAUCCCUUUUGCUGGUAGCUUCCUUCUACCUUCCAAUACGUUGUGCCUUUGGAGAGGGAAAAGGAGGUUUCUUUCUAGCCCUAGAAAGAGGAAUUGAGAAGGACAAUCAGGGAAAAUGAGUAAGACUGACUGGCUACUGUUAGUUUAUGUCAACAUUGAUGCAGGCUAGACCUUAUAAUCUUGGGCAAUAUUAGUGGGAUCUGACCCAAAUUAUCAGUUCCACACUUCAUAAUGUGACUGAACUCGUUAAUUUGGCUGGAUACUGCUCUAGGGGCUUGCUUUUCUGCACUUGGACGAUGAUCGUGUUGUUGAUUCAAAAUGACUUGAGACAUUUACCUCUUGAGGCUUUCAUGCAUGUAGAGCUGCGCACUCUACAUGAUGCCACCCACUCUCUACUUGAUACAUCAGACAACAGAUGGUGGAAAUAACCUCCGAAUUUCAUGUAUCUUAUUUGCAAGGAUAGCUAGUCGAAAAAUGACAUAUUGCCUAGUUUUUGGGAUUUUCUUUUUGAUGUUGGUCCAAGUAGUAGUUUAGCAGUUGUUCGCUUUGGCACAUCAGCUGGUAAUCAUAUUGAGAUAUCAAGACAAAUGAAUGAUGAUAUACUUGUGAAUUUGGAUUGUUAUACGUCAAAAGUCCACACUUCUUGUCAUGUCUCUGUCCAAUGUCGUAAAGGCCGCUCUGUGUGCUUGUUUAUGUGCUUGAUUAUGUGCAAUAUUGAAGUGCUCAGGGGCUUGCUCUGUGGCGAGGAAGCCCCUGAGCACCUCAAUAGUCCCCAGGCGAGGUGAGGUGAGUUUGCCAAGAUGAUGCCUAGCAAGCCCCCCCCAGACAAAGUGAGGAGUUUGGCAAGCGCCUCUCCAAUGUCUUAAGAAAUUCAGUUAUUUACUUUUUGGUAUAUGUUUUAGAAACAUCAACCAUGUUUGGGAAAGUGGUAUUUGCUAUCAUAUUUGAAUUUUGAAGUUAUUAAAGGCUGUCUAGUGGUUUAUUUUUGCCAACUUUAAUUAUUUGAAAAGAUGAUAUAGGAAGUGACAUUUAGAUGUGAUUUUUAAAAGAUGCGAAACACGAUAUCUAAUGUACAAGACAGUUUAAUUUUUGAUAUUGAAACUUGAUGCUUGAAUUAUUUUCAGAUACAUAUAAUAUUUAUUUCUAAUACAUUUUUUGAACUUUUUUGAAUUAGUGCCUUGCUUUUAUGAGGCAAGUGCCUUUUUGUUGCCCAAUACCUUGGGUGAUAUAAGUUUUCUCUAGUCUUAUUGGCACCUUUUGCUUUCGACCACCUUGGCUCUAUGUUACUCAAAUGAUGCAUGAAAAUUUUGGUUUGCUUCAUUGAGCAGUGCUAUUAAGGAUAUGGAUGAUUUUUGCAUAACCCACAUGUAGCCACUAUUUGUGUCUCAUUUAUCAAUAAAUAUGAAAGGGUUUUGGUAGUUCGAUCCCUGAUUUUCUACACUUUUCUUGCCUUCUUUCCUCAUUUUCUUCAAAUGUAUAAUGCCGUAACAUUUUGCAUUGAAAUUAUGCAUGAAUUGUCAUUGAUACUUUGGUGUACAGGGUCAACUAUUUCAAUAUUUUUUUGGUGGAAUGUAACUCUUGAUGGUUAUUUAUGAGUAUCAUGUGACUGUUAUGCGCCCCCAUGCUUCCAAUUUUACAGGAAAAUAUAAUUCUCUCAACUAUCUUAGGCAAGAUUCUAGCUUUGCACUCAUGAAUUGUUUGCGUCUCAUUUUUUCUAGAUUUCUUGCUUUCAGACUUAUGCAUGUCCUCUGUUCUCUCUGUGUUUUCACUCUGCAUUCUUAACUAUAUGUUUCUGGUUGAGUUUGCACACACACCCCCCCCCCCGGGGGGGGUUAGAGUGUCUAUCCAUGAUAAAGAACAUUCCAAGCUUCCUAAUACCGUUUUUGAAAGCUCCCUUGUUUGUUUUCUAGAUACGGGCUUAUGCGGCGAUCUGGGGAUUGCAUAGUAGGGACUUGAUGGGAUACUGCAAGUGCCUAGUCUUUUGGUGAUGUAUGCUGUUCUAUAAAUUGAGAAAAGUCUUGGAAACCUGACUUUUUUAAAUACCACAUGUUAUAUGGCAUUUGGCUAGUACCCAUUGGAGUUGAGUGGGACUGAAUGGAUGGGUUGCAAUUUAGAGCUGGAUUACUCAGAACUAAGUGGAAAUGGGACUUGCCAAACAGUGGUAGAAAGAUUCAUCAUUUCUUCUCCAAGUUCACCUCACUUGUAGGAGUUGCGCUCAGGAGCCUGGAUAUGGAUUUUGGUGGUACGGAUAGAAAAGUAUUUCUUCACUUCUUGUAUGUUAUAGUAGAUUCUUUUAUUUUCUCCAUAGGUUUUUGCUGUCUGGUAGCUGGCAGUUAUAGUCUUCCUUGAUUACGGCUGCUGUCUUCGACAUCCAUCCAGUGUAGUUUCUCCAUUUACAAUGAUUUGAAGAAUGAAGAGAAUGGUCUAUUUUCCUGUGCUGCUAAAGUUAUUUGAGUAUCUCUUCUGUGAAUAUGGUACUGUGACGUGGAAGAGGUGUUGAGGCUUUUGGAUCAAGUUGAAAAAGCAACUUAAUGGAUAUUGUGGAUUUUGAAUUCAGUUGUUUCUGAAACUUUUGCAGAUCACAAUCAAGAUCCAGAUCACCAAUUGCUUCAGUAAGUUUUAUCCUACAUUAGCAUUCCAUUGUUUCUUCCUCUUCCUCCUUGUUGAUCCACUGGAAUGUAAUGUGCAGCCCCCGCGGGACAAACGAGUGAGCAAAAGGCCAAGGAGGCAGAGCCCGAGCUGGAGCUUAUCGCGUUCUAUAUCUCCUGCUGUAUGAGCCUACUCACCUGCUCAUUUGUUCCUUGGUCAUAUACAACAUUGUGAUCUUGAUUUGUUUUGUUUUGUUUUGUUUUUUUCGGGGAGCAGAUGUCUGAUCGUAGCUGGUCUGUUGAUUCUCGAGACCUUUAAGGAGGAAAAGUAACUGCCUGAGCUGAAUAGGUGCAAAAAUUUACAGAAUACUCGAAAUACUCAUAAGACAUUUGGUUAUUGCUGUUAGAAAUGAUCUUAAAUGUUGUAAAUUAUUUGUGGAGUUGAUUGCAGGACAUGAUGCUGUUUGUGUGCUAAAAAUGCUUCUUUUCUGUUUACCGGUUGAUACUCAAAAUACUCAAGACAUUUGGUUACUGCUGUUAGAAAUGAUCUUAAAUGUUGUAAACUAUUUGUAGAGUUGAAUUGCAGGACAUGAUGCUGUUUGUGUGCUAAAAAUGCAUCUUUUCUGUUUACCGGUUGAUAUUCCGGGUAUUGAUGCUGUAGUUGGUAGGAUCUUAUCAUCCUUAUACAUUGCAGUAAGUUUACUCUUGAAGCUGCCUUUUAUUAAUUAGUAAGGUGGGUAACUAAUGCAUAUUGUUUGACAUGCUUGCAACUUAGAAUCCACGUGUAUAAUCCUGAAGUUUGUGUAAAUGAGGUUUGAAUUCAGCAAAAGGAAAUUUGACUUCCUUUACAAAUUGCGCGAGACUCCGAGGGGCGCGGAACCUCAGACUGCCUUUGGCGUAUGGAUGGCCGGCAACUUCCUGAGGCGCGAUGGCAUUGGUCUGCCGUAAGCUUUGCCUAAAAUCUCGAAGCCAAUCCAGAUUUUUUAGGUUCUCCAAUCCCCAUGGAUGGAGAGAGAGAGAAUAUCAGGAGAUUUUGGCAUGAACUUCAAGAUUCUACCUUUACUAGAAGAUUUGUGGUUUGAGUAGAAUCCAAAACCCUCUACAAGAUGCUCCCUCAAACAGCUGACUGAUUUGGUUGGUAUCUAACCUUUCUCCCUUCGGGAAGAGAAGAUCGUAAACCCAAAGGCCGUUCAUGGCUUUGUCAUUGUUCAUAGUCGAUAUGAGGCUCAUCGAGAGUGAGUCCACCUAAGGGUUUUUCACCACAUCUAUAUUUCGUUCAUUACCGAUCAGUCACUUGGAGUUAGCGAAGGCAGUGGGCACAUAUAUGCAGAUCUCUUGUCAAAGAUAAGAAUAUCUCUGGCUACUCUGAAAUGCCCCAUCAAUUUGUGCCAGGCCGUAUUGGGUUGUCAUCACCUGACUCUAAAAAUACUGUAGCUCGAACAAAUUUUACCGCAUGUCGAGCAAUCACAUCUCUUACCUCAUUAGAAGACUCUCUACCUUUAGACUUUUCUCGCAGGUUAGUUGACAGGUUGUUUUCUAAGCUAGCAGAUGCAUAUCGUGACUGCCACUAUAGGAUCCCCAGAGAAAAUUUCGAAGAAGCCGCUCAAUUCUUAUCAGCAUAGUCUUUGGAACUUUAGUGUUGGAUAUGAGGUAUGCAGACAUGGAGUUCAGGACUGACCUGAUCGGUGUCAAUCUGCUUAUCAUGGAUAACGAGGCCGCCCCUCUAACCCUCCGACCGCUUUUGGAUAUGCUGUAACAAGCUGAAGCAUUUUGUCACCCGCAGCCUUCUCCCUGUGUUGGGGGCGCCCAAGUAGCUCCAAGGUCCAUCGUGCUUCUUUAUGCCAAGAAACCCUCUGAUCUUCUGCCUCACCCACAACUCCAUCUUCGGACUAACACAAUAGUAGACUUGUGAAUAUUCACUCUAUAUCUUGAUGCCUCAUAGUAGUCCUCCAAUACCUCUCUGAGGGCCAAUGCAUCCAUCAUUCUCGUCCUGACCAGGAGGAGGCAGUCGUUUGUAAAAAGGAGGUGAGAGAUCGGUUGGGCAUUGGGGGUUGGAACAUAAGCGUCCAACUCCUGCUCCCGACAAGCAGUUCGCAGGGCGCGAGAAAGCACAUCAGCAUAGAUAAUGAAUAAAUAAGGAGACAAAGGACAACCCUGGUAAAGCCCGAUAGUGGAACGAAAGAAAGGUGGCAAUGUCCUAUUGACCUGGAUGGAGGACGGCUCCUCCAUACAGCCUAGAACUCAGGCAAUUUAGGUCUCAUGGAAACUAAAGCUCUCUAAUGCACGCGUGAGGAAUGACGCGUUCGCAAAAAUGCUUUCGCGAAACUAAUCUCCCAAGUAUAGGAGAAUCGUACAAGUAGUAAAUUCUCGGGAGUCCGAGGUCGAAUCCUCGUGGAACUAGGGCUGUCAACGAGCCGAGCCGAGCCCGAGCCACAGCAGGCUCGGCUCGGCUCGUUCUAUAAAAGUCUGGGCUCGGGCUCGGGCUCGGGCUCGGUACCGAGCCCUGUGCUGGGCUCGGGCUCGGGCUCGCCUGGCACAGCUCCGGCUCGGGCUCGAGCUCGUGAGGCUCGUUUGNNNNNNNNNNNNNNNNNNNNNNNNNNNNNNNNNNNNNNNNNNNNNNNNNNNNNNNNNNNNNNNNNNNNNNNNNNNNNNNNNNNNNNNNNNNNNNNNNNNNNNNNNNNNNNNNNNNNNNNNNNNNNNNNNNNNNNNNNNNNNNNNNNNNNNNNNNNNNNNNNNNNNNNNNNNNNNNNNNNNNNNNNNNNNNNNNNNNNNNNNNNNNNNNNNNNNNNNNNNNNNNNNNNNNNNNNNNNNNNNNNNNNNNNNNNNNNNNNNNNNNNNNNNNNNNNNNNNNNNNNNNNNNNNNNNNNNNNNNNNNNNNNNNNNNNNNNNNNNNNNNNNNNNNNNNNNNNNNNNNNNNNNNNNNNNNNNNNNNNNNNNNNNNNNNNNNNNNNNNNNNNNNNNNNNNNNNNNNNNNNNNNNNNNNNNNNNNNNNNNNNNNNNNNNNNNNNNNNNNNNNNNNNNNNNNNNNNNNNNNNNNNNNNNNNNNNNNNNNNNNNNNNNNNNNNNNNNNNNNNNNNNNNNNNNNNNNNNNNNNNNNNNNNNNNNNNNNNNNNNNNNNNNNNNNNNNNNNNNNNNNNNNNNNNNNNNNNNNNNNNNNNNNNNNNNNNNNNNNNNNNNNNNNNNNNNNNNNNNNNNNNNNNNNNNNNNNNNNNNNNNNNNNNNNNNNNNNNNNNNNNNNNNNNNNNNNNNNNNNNNNNNNNNNNNNNNNNNNNNNNNNNNNNNNNNNNNNNNNNNNNNNNNNNNNNNNNNNNNNNNNNNNNNNNNNNNNNNNNNNNNNNNNNNNNNNNNNNNNNNNNNNNNNNNNNNNNNNNNNNNNNNNNNNNNNNNNNNNNNNNNNNNNNNNNNNNNNNNNNNNNNNNNNNNNNNNNNNNNNNNNNNNNNNNNNNNNNNNNNNNNNNNNNNNNNNNNNNNNNNNNNNNNNNNNNNNNNNNNNNNNNNNNNNNNNNNNNNNNNNNNNNNNNNNNNNNNNNNNNNNNNNNNNNNNNNNNNNNNNNNNNNNNNNNNNNNNNNNNNNNNNNNNNNNNNNNNNNNNNNNNNNNNNNNNNNNNNNNNNNNNNNNNNNNNNCGUGGAACGAAAUAUAUAUGAGAUUAUUUAGUAUAAUUUAGGUUAAUUAAUUCAAUAAAUUUAUGGAUUAAGAUGAUGUUUUUGCAAACAUAAAAUAAAUCAGUAAAUAGAGAAUUGAAGUUUGGAUAGAUUAAGAUGGUGUAGGGAUCUAGAAUCUCUUUUGAUAAUAUCAAAUUCAUGUGAUAAAUUCUAUGAUUUUUUUAUUUUUUUAAAUUAUAAGCAGAUAAAAUUUAAUUAUGGAGUAUGUUCUUGAUAACACGAAUUCUCUUUCUAAGUAUUCAACGUACCUUAUAACGUCAACGAUGAAUCAAAUAAUCGAGGAAGACAUGUAUCAAUAAGCAUAAAUCAUAAAAGAAUUUUCAACAUAUAAGAAUCAUGGCAUAAUCAAAAAGAUAAAUCGUAUAAAGCAAAGGAGUAGAAUUUACAUCAUGAAAAGGAUCUUCCUUCAUGCAUCACCUAGGACUUUAGCCGAUCAUCUUCCUCUCUCUUUCUCACUUUUAUUUUUUUUUUUUCCCGGUUGGAAGAAAUUACCAAAAAAGAGAGCUCCUCUCGAAUGAGAGCAAUAGGCUGUUCGGCACCCUAUUUCCAUUCGACUCCACAACCCUGGUUGUUUCUCGACUCUAUCCUCUGCAACUUUAUCUAACAAAUUUCCUAACAAAUCACAGGAUGACGUGGACGCAGGGAAGAUUAAGCGGAGGAUGCACACGGUGAACUUGGACUCUCUCGAUCGCCAAUGGAUGCUUGGAUGCGGAAUGUGGACCCGAACUGCUGGAUUGCCGGAAGAUGGUAGUUGAAGCUGAAAUGCAACGGACUCUGGAGGACGUUGGGAGGACUCUCGGAGGAAACUGCCGGCUGCUAAAUCAAUGGGAGAAAAGAUCGAAAGCUAAUCCACACGCGGAAGGCGCUCGAUCUGAUCCGCGGAUGUGGGGGGGCGUUGCAACUCAGAUGCUCUGUUUUGGGAAGAAACAGGGGAAUAGGCGGACACGGCUGCGAGAUGUUGGUGGCGGCCGAUUCGUAGACGACUGGGAUGCAGUGAUGGCUGUGAAGAAGCUGGGUUGGAUGCGGAAGAGAAGCUGAUCCGGACACCUAUGGAGCUGGGUGACUGGCAGGCUGGGAAGCGGAAGAAGAGUCAUGGACUCUAUUCUGCAGCCGGAAAGAUUGCAUUCUUUUUAGAUGAAUUUAUAUAAAAUAAUGAUAAAAAUUAUAAUAAAUGCUAAGGAUAAAAUAUUUAAUCAUGCAAAUGUUAACACCUAUUAUUUAUCAUUAUUUUGCUAGUAUUAGGCUAAGUUAAUUGGUAGUUAGAUCGCACUUUUGUGCUCUCAUCAAGAAAGCAUCAGCAGACUCUAUCGUAGGCCCUCUUCAUAUCUAGCUUGACCGCCAUAUAACACUGCUGCCUUGGGGCCCGCUGUAGGUCCCAUAUCAUUUUCUGGGCAAUCAGGACAUUGUCGGUGAUGCUCUGCCCUCUCACAAAAGCCUUAAGCCUUUGCUCCUGAUAGAUGAGACCGUAUAGCAAGGGCUUCAUCCUGUCCACUAGAAUCUUGAUCACCACCUUGUAAAGGGUAGUGCAAAGACUGAUGGGCUUAUAGUGGCUGGGCUCCGCCUCAUCUAGGCGCUUCGGGAUUAGGGUGACGAAGGUUGUCAUUCCAGUCGCCAGCCAUUAACGCCAAUUGAAAAACAACUAAACUGCCUCCACCACUACCCUCUCAAUAAUGCACCAGUACCUCCUCAAAAAGAAGAGGGGAAAACCGUCCGACCCUAAGGUUUUGUCCUCCGCCCGAGCCCAAACAGCCUUUCACAUCUUCAACUCUGACAUAGCUCUAAUUAAGGCUGCAUUCUCUGCUGCCCCAACUUCGAAAUCCGACUGCAGAAGAUAGGCAGUCACAUUUGAGUCAUUGUCCUCUGUCAACCAAGACCUGAACAAGUCAACCAUAACUCAUCUGAUCGUGCUCUCCUCCACCCGAUGGAAUCGGACGUCGAGCUUUGGGUCGUUUGUUAGACGGACCUUGGCCCACUUUCGACAUGUGGACCUCUGGGCCGGCCGCACCCCAACCGACCAUUGCCAUCUGCAUCGCUUGCCAAGCCUCCCAGGUCCAACAAUGGAUCAAAGCCUGACCCGACUCGGCCACCACCUAGUGUCGAUCCGAAAUCGAAGCCUAAGUCACCACCCUCACCUGUCGGCUGGUCCUUGGGCGGGGAACGACGCCGAGCCACCUUCAUCGAUUUCUGCCAAUCGUCCGAGUUCGGCGACGAGCUAAGGGAGCUCAGGCGGAUGGGCGGAGACUGUAGCCUCGAAGAAGACGACUCAGGCAUAAACUAAGUCGUCUUUCUCGGUUGCGGCGGACCCUUCGUAGCUCGUGGCGGUCGGAUCCGCAUGGAUGCUAACCACGGGCCGAAGAUCAGUCGUCGGGUCUCCUCGCCUGAGCUGGAGUCCGGCUUCCAUAGGUCAUUGCCGAUCUCCACCACCAUAGGUAUCUGCUCCAACCCCUCCAACGCUGGCGUCGGAAGCCUGCAGGACGCCUCCGCAUGCCCUAUCCACCCGCAGCCGUAGCAGAAAUCAGGCAUGUUUUCGUAGACGAAGGGCUACCAGAGCAUUCUCGCCUUCCCUCUAAUUUGGAUGCCGGGAAGCAACGGCACGGUGGAUCGAUGGCCACCUUCACCAUGGCAAAUCUCAUGACUUUCUGCUGGUCCGUGAUCCUGUCAAUGAUGAGCGGUUGAUCCACCACCGUUGCGAUUCGAAGGAUCGUCUUGCUAGACCAAUACUGCACUGGGAGCUGAGACAAGUGGAUCUAGACCACCGUCUUUUCAUGGCGUCCAGUCCCGGCAUGGAAUUAGGAGCACACGACUCCAUGACCGGCAAUUGGCCCGCCACCACCCAUGUCCCGCCGGUCAAAACUCGUCUCGGUCAGCCGUCGAUUUAAAGCAGAGGACAAGGAAGCCGUUGGCGAGGAAAAUUGCUUCCACCUCGGCCUUCGUCUUCCCCAAGAGGGCAACAUCCCAGGCCACCCACUUCUCCGGCACUCGGCAUCCUAAGUUGUAGACCACCACUACCCGAUCCUCCCACUCUCUUUGCAAAGCCUCGAUCGGCUCCUCUGGUUGCUCGAGGACUGGCAAGAAGAUACACCAGAGCUUCUCCACCUCUGCCUCCGAAAUCGCCCUACCACUCAUCUCCUCCCCCCUCAUCGGUGGAUCCCGGCUCCCACCUGCUGCAGCGCUGCCCACCGUCUUGCUCGCCUUGGCCUUCUAUGCCAUCGCCAAUCACGCAUGAUUCUCAAAGCUUUCGUCGGAGCAAACUAGUUGUUUUCUACUCUCCUUUUGUUAGUGCUCUUAAUUGCUGAUAUUAUUUCACCCUCGUUGAACAAAUGCAUUUGUCCACCACUGUUUGGGUGGUAUUCAGUUGGCUAAUCAAAAAAAUUCAAGUUAUCUACUAUUGAACCAGUAACCAAAUGCAGUUUAAGAUAUUUUCCAUUUUUUUUUUAAAGGUCACAAUGGUUCUUAAAUAUUGACGAAGGUGGCAUUUAAUUCCAUCACACUUUGUAUGCUUAUCAAAGACUUUUUGAUUGUAGAAAAACUUUAUAAAGGAUGAUCUAGUCAUUAAAAAGUUCAGUUACAAAGCAAUAGUAUGACAAAAGUUGCAAAAGUCCUUGUUGCAACAGUAGAGAUAACCUCUGAUCUGAGAUUUUUAAUUGUUUACCAAUAAAUUCACAAGUUGAGCAUCAACUUUGUAGGGUUGACAUAAGAGAAAUUAUCGGUCUUCUGUAGAACAUAAAAUUUUGAUAAGUAUAGAGAACAAGUUAGAUGCUGGACAAUUCUAUUCUACAUGGUCAGGUGUAACCUAAGUAAUUAUAUAUAGUGUUUCAAUAACCCAACCUAAGUAAUCAAGUUUCCAUCAGCUAUAGUAUUGACCUGCUCGGUUAUCAGAAGUGUGGCUUGCCGGAUUUUCACCAAGUCUUUGCAAUGAAUACCAAACUGAAGUGGUUCUUUUUAUGAGUAUGGCGUGAAAUGUUGCAUACUGCAUUAGUAAUGUGAUGGUUAUAUACAACGUAUAUGUUCAAAUCUUGCAAUCAUCGAAGUUUGGAGGAUUAGAGAUAUUCGAACCCCAUUGUCCAUCGAACUCUUGUCAAGCAUGCUGAAGAAGUAUUUAUGCAAUUGCAGACUUUUAAUUUCUGAGCAGCCUAAGCAAACAUGAGGCAUCCCUGUCAACCUAUAGGUUGCCAGAAGGUGUUGGUCAGAUCUCUCUAAUAUAAGACUUUCCAGCUUGAAGUAGGUAACCUCAUUGGGAGACAAUACCAAUUCAAAAAAGUAGCUACAGAUUGAAACUAAAACAAUCAAUCAGUCCAUCCUUUGAAUAAGGCAAAAACUCAGCCAAAUAUGAACUGACAGGAGCUAAGCGUUUUUUAAAAAGAUUUCAAAGAGCAGUAUGAUUCCCUUCUUUUUUUUAGACAAGGGAUUUUAGGAUGACAUUCCUGAUUUUUAUCACUGGGACAGAUUCAACAGAAGUAAUUAAAACCUGCCCACCUCUCCCAAAAUCAUCCCAGCAAUCUCCAAGCAUAAAUAAUGUCAUAGCCCCUACAGAGUUAUAAACAGGUUUUCAGCUGAAUUACUUCCAAAAGAUCGUUUGGAGUCUCAGUUCUAAGAGGCAACCCAGCCUUAUAAAAAAGUCAUUUUCAGUUUAAAGCACUGCUUCUGCAGCAUGUCAUGAACUUCGCCAUCAUAUGAAGGACUGCAUUCGAGUGACAUGCAUAGGCUGAUAAGACGAGCUCUACGACCAGCCUCGGGAUGAUGACCUCUCAGAGCCUACCCGGGGCCACAGACCUGCCCUGUGACUGGAAUCUGAUGCACCAGUAGAUUGCAUAUAAGGUCCCCACCAUCCUGAUUCCCUGUCCACAGGAAAUAAUUGAUAUGGAACAAAUCGGUCCCUUUCCCAUGAAGUAUAUAAGUGGUGCCCUGCAGUGUUCUCAGCAUCUAUUAGAUUGUGACCUGAUUGACCUGCAGAAGGGAGCAGGUAAAAGCCAGCCUGAUCCGUCAGAGAGACCGGUGUUGGAGCUAAGGUAGCCAAACCCCUCGAACCUCCCGAUCGCUGUAUGCCUGUGAAGAUGGUUCCAUGUAUGCUUUGGGAAUUUUGAUGAUCAUGAACAGCGCCACGAGCUCUGAGAUAUGGUGGAACUGGCGAGGGAACAAAAGAACUGGGGGAUCUACCCCUAGAACCAGAUCUGGGGUAAAAAUUGAGGCAAAUAUCAGUCAGCAUCAUCAGAGACCAGGAUAUCUUACACACAAAAAAAGGACACUUCUGUUUUCAUGUUAUGUUGCUGAAUCUCAUAGAAGCAGGGAUAAUGCCAACCAAGACAUUAGAUAGCGAUGCAAAGCAAGAAGUGACAUUCUAGUACUAAGAGACUACAAGCAGAAUCAGCAUUGGUGGGAUGCUGCUCUUUAAGAGGUAUGAAAUUAUACAGAGCUGAUAAGUUCACUGAAUUUAGAAUGCUCAGAGGAAAAUCAAUGGAUGCGAAACCUUAGGAGCCAAUUCUCAAACAUAAAUGUGAUGGAUACAGGAAAAGAAGGUGAUCAAAAAGCAGAAUGAUUGGCCAACAUAAGCUGCAAAUAGAACAGAAAGUGGGAUGGCUUAAAACCUUUGUCAAGGAAUUGCAUUUUGAGAACUAACGUUAUUAUUGUGCAUCACUGGAGAUUACAAAAAUCUAUGGACAUUGCUGUAAUAGAAAACAAAAUAUAAUUAGGAUAAUAUUCCAUUAUUUGAACUCGAGAUCACUUACCCGUGGCCAAGAAUAAAGGGAUGGACAAAAGGCCCUGCCCUCGGUAGACCAUCAGAAUCAAGCCUUGCAGCUCUCAUUGUUGGAGAAGAAGCUGAAGCCUGAUCAGCACCACUGAUAUGGCUGUUAGGUGGGGAAUAUGACUGAGAAUGCUGUUCCCAACUAUGAUACUGGAGAUCAAUGGGAGGUAGUGUGUGAACAAUCUGGACAUCUGUCGGCCUAGGAAUGUGACUCCAGUGAUGGUGAUAUCCAGGACCAUCAAUAGGACUUUCAGAUGAAACAUGGGAACUUGAGGAAGAUGAAGGUUGGAGUGGCUGCAAGUAAGCCACAUAUGGGCAUGGAUGAGCUGCUGAUGAAGCAGCUGGAUGCUCUGUAAAGAUGGCUUGAUGUCCCAAAAGAUCCUGGACUGCAAAGCAGAAUAUUUUGAUAUGAUACUUACUCCUAUACUCCACAAUCAUACACAAUUAAUCAUUUUCAGAAAAAGUAUAAACUUACAAGAAAUAUGUGGAGAAGAUUCCCCUUCCCUGAAAAGGAAAAAGUCAAUGGAGUGGGAAACAAUGCCAAGAAAAAACAUAUCAUCCUAUAGUCAAUAUCAAUUAUUAAGACCAAGCAAGAAGACGUAUAUCAAGGUGAAAGAUUUCAAUCUCACAACACCUAUAAACCUCAGCACCAUAAAUACCAAUUAAAUUAUAUUCAUAUCUCAGAAUUGUCAUGAAGCGUUACAAAUUUAUUUGAAAAUGAAGAUCCAGUAAAAGAAGCAAGGCUCUCUCAUUUUGUUUAUUGACAUGGUAAGUAUUUGACUUGUACGUGUUGGCAUGCGCUACACAACCAGGAAAACUUAUUGUUUAGAGAUUUAGGAGUGCCAAUACUUUUGGACACAGCAUAGCAAGACAUCCCCUUGCCAUUUUUUAAAUGCAUUGUUCUACUUAAGGCAACCUGAGGUGUUGAAGCUUGAUAUAAUGUAUUGAGAUGUAACUCCCUACUGAAAGGCAUUUUAGUUCUCCACAUUUGGAGGUGCCACACAUGAUUGUUUUAAUGCAUCAACACACUCCAAGUGAAGUGCCAAAAUAUUUACUUGGUGUUAUCCUGCCUGAAAUUUUACUUCAUAUCAAUGUGUGUGUAUGUACUUAUGGAUUUCCUUGCUCUAUACAAACACAUUCUCAUGCUACUUUUUUUUUUUAAAAAAAAAAACUAGUGUCAGGCAUUUCAGGACAUCUUGAUGCUUAGCUAUUAUGACAAUAAAGGUCUAGCUACUGUACCAUCUACGCAUGCAAGUAAAUAGAAUAAAUAGGGAUUUGAGAAGGACUGGAACUAACCAACUACCAAAAUCUUAGCACCAACCAACAAAUGGGAAGAUUGGACCAAGAAAGAGAAUCUUAGCACUAACCAACUACCAAAAGACAUAUUUUUGAUAUCCUGGAUUUUUUGAUUCUAUAUUAAUCGAAUAUUGAUUAGUUGUACAAUUGAGUCUUAUUCUUUUAGCUAGCAUCUAAGCAUCAUCAGGACAUAUCUCAAUGGCAAUAGGCUGGCACCACAGCUUUGAGCCAUUCUCUCUAUAUUGGUUUUAGAUGCAUUAAUUGUUCAAGUCAGAGAGGAGGUUUUUCAGUGUAUGUACUAGCAGAAGAUUUAUAGUUGAUUAAAAGUUAUUAGCAAGGCGUUAGAUAUCACAAUGUAAUAAUGAAAAACAAACAGAGUUCUUAAUUAUGCAUGCAUGGAAAUUGAUGUUUAAGGAACAUUCUGAAGUCUCAAGACCAAUUAUCCUUUGUCACAAUUAAUUUUCAAAUUAAGACAUCAAGUAACAUAAUUAUUUUAAUCGACAUCACCAGGUGCAUAAACAACAAAACCAUUGAUUUAGUAACCGGACAACAAACAAAAAGUAGCAUCAUCUUCACUGGACAUAAAAAGUCUGCUUUGCCAGGAGUAUUCAAGAAGACACGGGAAGGAAAGAAUGCAUUAACACAAGAUUGAAAACAAUUGAUACACCAGCAAAGCAAAAUCUAGUUCCUCGAGCUGAUAUAUGUACAUAGCUAACAAGAAGUUUCCUAGGGGCAACCUUUACAAUAGAUAACCAUGUCGUCCUUAAGAAUAAUUGCCAGAGAAGCAUAUCUUAAAGCUUCAACAGAAGCAUGCUUACAUUUCAUAAUCUUUCAGAUAUUUAUACAUACCAGAUCCAACUAUAUUUCAUAUGUUUUCAGCUAGCAGCAAUGCCUCCAUAAAAGCAGAGAAGUGAUUCCAUCAAAAAAUAUUUAUGUUUCCAGAAAGGUAAGGGGAAGGAACCGAACUAAUCCUUGUACAGAAAUAUAUUACACUUACUCAAAUGAUGAUGCAGCCUGCGCUAAUCUGCUAAAUGGGCACCAAUGAACUCCAAAUGGCUGCAUAAACAGAUUAAAAGAAGAAAUCAAAUUAAGAAAUCAAAUGUUACAAGAUUCUGCUAUAUUUGGGGAUUAUCCCAAGGAUACAACUGUCAGUAAGAACCCUUAUAAACACUUAAGAACAUUUUUCCAAGAAUGGAAGAGAUUUUUAGAAAAAAGCCCGAACAUGAUACUUAACAAAUUAGUUGGAAAAAUUGAAGCUUAGCUGCAUGCACUUUUCCUGAUAUAGUUACUAACAUGAAAGAUGACUAAAACAGCAUUGUUUCUUCAACUAUAUGAUAAUAGAGACCUUUGAUUUGAGUAACAUACAACUGUCCUACAAAGAUAAAAAGAAAGCAACAGACAGCAUGCUUGUCAGCAUACUCGCAGGCCAAGUAAUGAAUGCAAGAUAUAAUGGGAAUACUGCAAUGUUGGGAAUACAUAUACGUGGAAGGAAUUGCUAGUUAGAAGCACUUCAAAUAUGCACCAGGGACAUCAAUUUAUGUUAUGAUAUUUAUAUCAAUGACAAUAACACAGAAAGAGCCAUCUGCAAAACGUUGUCUAGAGAGUCAUGCUCAAACAUUGCAUUUAAACAACAAAGCAAAGAUAAAAAUAGAGAAUCAAACUGCAGUCCUAAAGAAAGUAAACAGCAGCAGACAAUACUAACAGUACAUGCACAGCAUGGUGUAUCCUGAAAGAAACAAAACUAUUGAGAAAGCUUUAAGCAGCAUAUAACAUGCUGUUCAAAUCAUAAAGCACCCAGAAGAGGGUAAGAAUAUAGCUGUAGUCCAUCUGAUUUGAGUGUCAUGAGUCCUUAUCAAAUCAAAACUCAUGACUUUAGUUAGUAGAUUAGGGAGAGGGUGAGAAAGCAACAUGAGGAAGAGAACCUCACAUAAAAAAUUAAGUGUCCAGAAAGCAUAAUAAUAUUAAUUGCAAUAAACUAAAAGAAUCUACUCAUUUUCACAUUUUAAAGAAACACAUGACUCAGGCAAUCAAAAAGAAUUGGUCAGACAAAAGUUUAUCAUCAAAAAAGGCUGAUCUAAUAGAACAGAUGAAGUAACAGAAGAUAAUUUAAGAAAGAAGGGAAGUGUCAUGAAGUGGGUGCAGGAAUGAGAGUGUGAAUUUGGGAUGAAGCAGCAAAUUGAGCUGAAAAAUCUGGUUGCCAAUCUUGCAACUCCUAAGCAAGAUUUCUUUGACUUAGCCCUCUGUAUACCCUUCUACUCAAAAUCAACCUCAUUUAUCAUUAGGAAAUCAUCAGACAUGUCCGAGCAGACCAAACAACAUUUUCCCUUAAUCAUUAGGAAAUCGUCAAAAUGAGAAUAAUUAAAGCAGGAAGAAAAUUUUGAUACUAUCAAAACACAGUUAUAGCAGAACGACAGGAAAGAGAAAUGGAAAAAUAAAACCUAAUACUUUUAAUGAUGAGUGUUUGGACAACUAUAAGUAUCUUAAAAGUUAGUUAUUGCAUUUAGUUGAAAUCUCUGAAGUUUUCACAGACUGUGCACCAAUGGGCAAACAAUAAAAAUAAAUAAAUAGAACAAGUAAGCAAUUAAUGGGCACCAAAUCUAAUGAAUAAGAAAACUCUGUGACGGUCAAAGAACAGAACAGAAAAAAGAAACAUCUUUAAUGCUUUGGAAAGAAAAGCAACAUAUAUAAAUAAGUACAUGACUACACUAUAUAAUCAUAGAAAACAAAUAAAUCGAUCCGUCACUGUACCAUUUCUGAAUAACUAAGUUCAUAGAGGUCUUCAUCAUGUGCCCAGUCAUCCAUGCUCAGCUCUGGCAAUGGGCGUGAACUGCUUGCAUAUAGCCAAUUGCCAUUCUCGACUUUUCGACAAUUUGGGCAUUGCAUAACCCCUUUGGCAUUAAAUGCAGAGCCAAUGCAAUCUGAACAAUUUGUUAAAGAAACAGCAAUGAGUAAUCAGAUAAUUGUACAUUGUUGGAAGUGUUUCUAAAUUAUGUAAAUAUUUUUUAACAUUACAUUAACUGCACACAAGUUCAUGCAAUAUAUACAUGAAAGAGGAAUAGCAGCCAACAGGUGAACAUGAUAGCCAGUUUUAAAACCCAUGACAAAUGACAAGUCAAAGGAGUCCAACUUAUUGUACUAUUCGAACAUAAUGUAAACUUUCAAACCUUGUGAUUGAUAUUGUGUACUGAACUACUUUAUUAUUGAAAAAUAAUGUGUACAGAAAAUUUUACAUUAGGUGAAUACACAUUGGACCAGAACAAAAUUAUAAUUAUUCCAUAAAAAACAUUUGGGAUAUAGUUGAUAUCUUUGAGACAUUAAGUCAAAUCUAAAUUGGAACCUUUAAUAAAAUUUCUUCUGUUUUCUCUGCUUGCGAGGACUUAAUCAAAUUCAAGGGAAAAAAUAGCAAUGUAACUAGGAACUUGGGGAUGGUUUCAUGCCUGUCCCGACAUUCAUAAUUCAUCAAAGAUAUAUUUUUAGUGCUGAUAGUCAUAUCCAAAUUCCACCUAUCACUGUCAUCGAUCCUUCACAAUCUUCAUCAAUUCAUCUAAGAUCAUCCUUUAACAUGUUUCAUGGAGCAUGCUUUAAGCAUGUUAUACAUUAACCACAAAGUCUAAGUUUUGCCCUAGACCUUGAUGACGGACAACUGCAGGGGAAGAGGAGGAGGAAGAAGAAGGGAAGGGAAAGAAAGAAGAGGUUAUAGAGACGCAGAAAGAAGAGAGGAGGAGAGGAGAAGAGGAGAGGGAAGAGAGAGGAUAGAAGGAACGUGGGGGAAGAAAUCUUAAUUCACUUUCAUUAAACCCUAAUCACAAUGAGGAUCCCAUAUAUAUAGGGCCCAAACAAGAAAAUUAACACAGAACCCCUUACACAAAAAUAAUUUCCAAUAAAGCCCAAAAUAACACAAAUAAAGCCCUACAACAAUAAAAAUAUAAACAAGCCCAAAAAUAAAACAAAAAAAUAUAAUCAAAAUAAAAAUGUUGGAUUAGACGGGCGGAUGAUCAGCUCUGAUGUCCCCAUCAACUCCUUCCGGAUGGAAAAAACUCGACCUCGUCGAGUACAAAUCGGGCUGGUUGUCGUAUUGCUCCAAGAGAUCGGGAUCAAGGCGCUGCAACUCAGCUCUGGAGAUCCACGUCACGUCAGACUUUGGUCGGCCUUUCCACCGAACAAGGUAACGUUGGUAACCACCGUUCCUGGUUAACAUAACCUGCUCAUCUAAUAUAUAUUAUAUUUAUUCUUUGAGUGCAUAAAAUUUGGAAAGUGGUGGCUCAAGAGCAGGUAAUGGGUCAGGGUGAUCAAAAAGGGCAGAUGUGUCAACAAAGGGGUCAGAAUGAAUAAUUGUUGUCUUUUUGUAGGAGAUUAAAUCUUUAAUAUUAAAUAUCACACUAAUUCCAUAGUCAUCAGGAAGAUCCACAGCAUAUGCAUUCGAAAUAAUUUUCCAUAGGACUUUGAACGGUUCCGCGCUACAAGCUUGCAAUUUCUUGAACGUUUCCGAAGAAAGUUGUUCAAGCCUAAUUCUUAUCAUGACGUAACCUCUUUCACUUAGCUCUUUAUAACGUUCGCGUAAAUCAACAAGAAAUUUAUAUUUUAAGUUAUUAAAGUGAAUGCAUUUGCUGAUUUCUUGAUGCAAUGAAUGUGGGCGCAAUGCGAAUAACUGUGCAGACUCAGACACUCUAUACUAAUGAGAUAUGGGAAUCAGGUCUAUGGACUGCCUAGGUUUGCAACCAUGCACCACAUCGAAUGGACUCAUGCCUAUGGACUUAUUGAGCGAACUAUUAUAUGCAAACUCAGUGGUCGGUAACACUAAACUCCAGGUCCUAGCAUGUUCACUUACCAGACAUUUUAACAGGCUUCUAAGGCUACGGUUGACAACUUCAAUCUGGCUGCCGGUUUGAGGAUGAUAAGCAGAAGAAAAUUUUAGUUUGGUGCCUAUCAGCAUCCCUAUUAGACAAUAGAUUUUGGAGGGUCAGGGGGUCUAACGACUUCAUCGAAAUAAAGUUUGGCAAUUCUAGAAACAUCAGAAGUCUUAGAACAAGAAACAAAAUGAGCCAUCUUUAAAAAUCGGUUCACAACCACAAAAAUAAAAUCGUGCUUAGUAGAAGUAUGUGGAAGUCCUAACACGAAAUCCAUAAUGACAUCUAGCCAUGGGCAUUCGGAACAAAUCCGAAUAUGAUAGCACCAACUCUUCAAAUCAAUCUUAGAAAAGAUCGUGGCACCCGACAGAAUCUAAAAGAUCGUUUAGCCUAGGAAUGGAAAACCGAUACUUAACCAUGAGUUUGUUGAUGGCACGGCUAUCAACGCACAUUCUUCAAGAACUAUCUUUUGUGGUGGUACCAACUCUUCAAAUCAAUCUUAGAAAAGAUCGUGGCACCAAAUAGAAUCUAAAAGGUCGUUUAGCCUAGGAAUGGAAAAGCGAUACUUAACCGUGAGUUUGUUGAUGGCACGGCUAUCAACGCACAUCCUUAAAGAACUAUCUUUUGUGGUGGUACCAACUCUUCAAAUCAAUCUUAGAAAAGAUCGUGGCACCAAACAGAAUCUAAAAGGUUGUUUAGCCUAGAAAUGGAAAAGCGAUACUUAACUGUGAGUUUGUUGAUGGCAUGGCUAUCAAUGCACAUCCUUCAAGAACUAUCUUUUGUGGGGUUGAGGAGUGCAAACACAGUAUAGGGGCUUAGGCUCUCACAAUCAUACCCUCUUGCGAAGAGUUCGUCAAGUUGAUGUUUCAACUUAGCGCAUGCAUUUAGGCUGAGCCUAUGAUAAGGAAGGGUAGGCAAAGGUGCUCAGAGGACUAACUCAAUUGCGUGACGGAUAUAACACAUCGGAGGAAGUGCAUCCGGGAAAUCAUCAGAUAUUACAGAAUGAAACCCCUCUAGAAUGGGAGCCAUCGCAUGAGAAUGGUCAAGGUUGGAUUCCUCAUUGAUAGCUUUAGCCACAUGUGCCAACACAGGAGACUGACCCUCGAAAUCUUUUACUACCUCUUUCGAAGUAGUAAUGUGAAAUGGUAUGUUUGUACUUAGGUCAACAGUUUUCUUUUGAAGAUCAUUCUGGACAAAUUCAAAUCCGGUGGAUUCGUCUUCAAAGUCUUCUACAUAAUCUUCUAUGAUUGGUUCAUAGACUUUUUCGACAUAUUCGGUCUCUUGGUUUCCAGCUUCUGGUUCAGUAGACAGGUAGGUCUUAAUGGAACAUUGAGACGCUAUGCGGCCGAAUUAUUGACACCUAGAGCAUUGGGUUUGGUUCCUAGAGGAAUGAGGACGAACUAUAGGUGGAGCGGCCAAACUGAUUUUAGGUUGGGCUGCAACGGGGGUUGGCGGUUUAAGGGUCCUAACAUUUCGCAUGAGCUCACUGACCUCUUGUUUGAUUUCUUUCCUUCGAGCUUGUAUGGCAGCGAACUGGUCCAUGAGAAAUUUCAGGACUUCAAAAUCCAUGGUAGCUAAGGAGACUUUAGGUUGGUCGGCUUGGUACUCCUUAUCACCAUGUGUUGAUAUGUAAUGAUAACACUAUGUAUGAUGAUGUAAAAUGCAAUGUUACUAAUGAAACCCUAAAAAAUAUGAUGCAGAACCAAAUUUGAUGUAGGACAACCUACUAAUACAAUCUACUAUGAUUUCAGAGAUCAGCAAGUUUUCAUUAGAAUAACUUAAACUUUAAAUGUUGCUGAUUUUUACCUCGGUUAUUCGGAAUUAAGGAUUAAGAUUAUUCAAUUUACGAAAUUAGAUUGCAAUCAAGUAGUACAGUUACUCUGAUCCUAAAUCAAUAUGAUCGAAGAAUGUUGAGGAACAUUCAGUUGCUAGGGUGUGCUAAUUUAAUAUCUAGAUUUUAAAAUGACGAAUAGGAUGGGUUUGAGAGUAGGGGUUCUAUGUUCUGAAUUUUGAUAGCAAAAGUAAGUUUCAAGAAUAUGACUAUCAUGCAAGAGAACUAGAACAUAAUUAAAUGAACAAGCCCAAGAAAAGUGGAAACCUAUCACUUGUCGUGAAGCGGACGACCAGAAUUACUCGGAGGCUGGGGCGACGAUCAGGGACACGGCUGCGGCUGAUGAACUCUCAAAAUGGCUCCAAUUGGUUCUUAACACAGCAACUCGGCAGGUCUGAUCUCGGUAACUCAGAAAAGAUGUGACGGGCUUGAUGACAGUGGCCCGUUUGCAGAAAAAAAGGGGCAGCGGGCUGUGGGCCUGAUGAAAGGAUGGGUGACUUGGGCCAGUGGGCCGAAGGGUAGGAACUGGCGGUGUGGGCCUGAUGGGCCCACGGAUGAGAAUAUGGGGCGGCCUGGUGUGGUGUGGAAUCGGACGAUUGGGCCUUUGAAGAGGAGUGGGGGUGAAAGCGGGCUCGACCCUGAUGACAGAGGCGGUCCGUGAAAGAAAGAGGGGGGGAGUUGUGGGGUCGGGAUCUGGAGCCAAGGGUUUCAACCGAAACCCUUGGGGUGGUCAAAUGGGAGGGAAGGGACUCGAGGGGGGGGGUGACCAGAGAAGAUGAAGGAGGAAGGGGGGAUGCGGCGCUGGGGAAGGCAGAAGCAGUGAUAGAGGCGGCGUGGUGCGGCAGAGUGGGGGACGGGCGGGGUGCGGCGAAAGAUUUCGGGCGGGGUGCGGCGAAAGAUUUGGGGCGGCAAGCGAGGGGAAGGUGGGAAGCGGCGACGGCGGGUGGUUGCAGAGGGGCGGAAUGGCGCUGCGAACGACGAAGGCGGUGAAGCGGUGAGGCAAAAACGCGGAGGUGGUGGAGAUCUCGAGGAAGACGGUGAGCAAGGCGGCACGGCGAGGACGGCGGGGCGAGGGCGCUGCGGCGACUGGAGAAGACGAUGACAAGUACUUUGUUUUUUCUCUUUUUUUCUUUUCUUUUUUUUCUUUUUUUUUUAACUUCGGUAUUCCGUUAGGNNNNNNNNNNNNNNNNNNNNAACUCGGAUCCGUUAGGAUCCGGAUUAUCGGGUUUGACACGACCCGAUACCCGUUACAGGUUUGUCACGUGUAAAUCACCUGCGCUUUUUUUUGAAACGGAUCCGAGCCGAGGGACUCGGGUUAACGAGUCUGGGGCUUACCCGUUAGGCUGGUUUUCUCCAACCCCCUGAUAGUUUCGGAAGAGCGCUCCGAACUUCAUGACGCUGACGGCGGCCGGGGAUCUAGGACUGGGGGCGACGGCUGCACGAGAGGGUUGUGGCGGCUGAAGAGGUGGCGAGGCAGCGACGGGAAGAAGCGAUGGCGUUGCUCCUUCCGAUCUGACCACGGGCGGUGGUCACAGAGGUGCGGCCGGUGGCUUUCCCAUGAGACUGAGUGUCGUGUAGUUGACACCAGGGCGGCGGGCUCUCGUGGGGUUGCAGCGUCUUCAGUUGGUGGGCCGACGACGAGGCGGCGCUGCGAGGUGGAGGCGAGCGAGGCUACGGGCACAGUGACAGGUGACCAUGGGAACCGGAAGGAACCAGCAAAGGGGGUUUUGUCCCCUUCUCCUGGUGAGAACCGAGAGAGAAAAAGUGGGACCCUUUCUUUCUUCUGAUCAACAGAAUUGACAGAGAGAGGGGGGCGGUUCUGGUUGUUGGUGGGAGCCGAGGGAGAGAAGAGAAUCUGGAUCGUGGCUUUGGCAGCAGGGGCAAAGUCGGCCUACUCUGAUACCAAGUUGAUGACAGACAACUGGAGGGAAAGAGGAGGAAGAAGAGGUUAUAGAGACGCAGAAAGAAGAGAGGAGAAGAGAAGAGGGAGGUUUGAGGAAAGAAAGAACGUGGGGGAAGAAAUCUUAAUUCACUUUCAUUAAACCCUAAUCACAAUGAUGGUCUCCUAUAUAUAGGGCCCAAACAAGAAAAUUAACAUAGAACCCCUUACAUAAAAAUAAUCCUCAAUAAAGCCCAAAAUAACACAAAUAAAGCCCUACAACAAUAAAAAUGUAAACAAGCCCAAAAAUAAAACAAAAAAUAGAAUCAAAAUAAAAAUGGACUGACGGACGGAUGAUCAGCUCCGAUGUCCCCAUCAACUCCUUCCGAAUGGAAAAAAACUCGACCUCGUCGAGUGCAGAUUGGGUCGGCUGUUGUACUGCUCCAGAAGAUCGGGAUCAAGGUGCUGCAACUCAGCUCUGGAGAUCUACGUCACAUCAGACUUUGGUCGGCCCUUCCACCGAACAAGAUAACGUUGGUAACCACCGUUCCUGGUUGACAUAACCUGCUCAUCUAAUAUAUGUUCUAUUUAUUCUCUGCGUGCAUGAAAUUUGUAAGGUGGUGGCUCAACAGCAGGUAAUGGGUCAGGGUGAUCAACAAGGGCAAGUGUGUCAACAAAGGGGUCAAAAUGAAUAAUUGUUGUCUUUUUAUAAGGAAUUAAAUUUUUAAUAUUAAAUGUCGCACUAAUUCCAUAGUCAUCAGGAAGAUCCACAGCAUAUGUAAUCGAAUUAAUUUUCCAUAGGACUUUGAACGGUUCCGCACUACAAGCUUGCAAUUUCUUGAACAUUUUCGAAAAAAGUCGUUCAAGCCUAAUUCUUAUCAUGACGUAACCUCUUUCACUUAGCUCUUUAUAACAUUCGUGUAAAUCAGCAAGAAAUUUAUAUUUUAAGAUAUUGAAGUGAAUGCAUUUGCUGAUUUCUUGAUGCAAUGAAUGUCGGUGCAAUGCGUAUAACUGUGCAGACUCAGACACUAUACUGAUGAGACAUGGGGAUCAGGUCUAUGGGCUGCCUAGGUUUGCAACCAUGCACCACAUCAAAUGGACUCAUGCUUAUGGACUUAUUGACCGAACUAUUAUAUGCAAACUCAAUGGUCGGUAACACUAAAUCCCAGAUCCUAGCAUGUUCACUUACCAGACAUUUUAACAGGCUUCUAAGGCUACGGUUGACAACUUCAAUCUGGCUGCCGGUUUGAGGAUGAUAGGCAAAAGAAAAUUAUAGUUUGGUACCUAUCAGCAUCCCUUCAGACAUAAAAGAUUUUGGAGGCACAGGGAAUCUAACGACUUCAUCGAAAGUUUGGCAAUUCUAGAAGCAUCAGAAGUCUUAGAACAGAAAAAAAGUGAGUCAUCUUUGAAAAUCAGUUCACAACCACAAAAAUGAAAUCGUGAUUCGUAGAAGUAUAUGGAAGUCCAAACACGAAAUCCAUAANNNNNNNNNNNNNNNNNNNNNNNNNNNNNNNNNNNNNNNNUGGCCAUGGGCAUUCGGGACGAAUCCAAAUCUUGUGGUACCAAAUCUUCAAAUAAAUCUUAGAAAAGAUCGUGGCACCAGACAGAAUCUAAAAGGUCGUUUAGCCUAGGAAUGGAAAAGCGCUACUUAACCGUGAGUUUGUUGAUGGCACAGCUAUCAACGCACAUCCUUCAAAAACUAUCUUUUGUGGGGUUGAGGAGUGUAGACACAGUAUAGGGGCUUAGGCUCUCACAAUCAUACCCUCUUGUGAAUAGUUCGUCAACUUGAUGUUUCAACUCAGCGCAUGCAUUUGGAUUGAGCCCAUAAUAAGGAAGGGUAGGCAGAGGUGCUCGAAGGACUAACUCAAUUGCGUGAUGGAUAUAACACAUCGGAGGAAGUGCAUCCGAAAGAUCAUCAGGGAUUACAGAAUGAAACUCCUCUAGAAGGGGAGCUAUCAUAGGAGAAUGGUCAAGGAUGGGUUCCUUCAUUAAUAGCUUUAGCCACAUGUGCCAACACAGGAGACUGACCCUCAAUAUCUUUUACUACCUCUUUCGAAGUAGUAAUGUGAAGUAUGUUUGUACUUAGGUCAACAGUUUUCUUUUGAGGAUCAUUCUGGACAAAUUCCAAUCCGGUGUGUUCGUCUCCAAAGUCUUCUACAUAAUCUUCUAUAUUUGGUUCACAGACUUCUUCGACAUAUUCGGCCUCUUGGUUUCCAGCUUCUGGUUCAGUAAUCAGGUAGGUCUUAAUGGAAUAUUGAGAUGCUAUGUGGCCGAAUUAUUGACACCUAGAGUAUUGGAUUUGGUUCCUAGGAGAAUGGGGAAGGACUAUAGGUGGUGCGGCCAAACCGAUAGGUUGGGCUGCAAUCAAGUAGAUUGCAAUCAAAUAGUACAGAUGCUCUGAUCCUAAAUCAAUAUGAUCGAAGAAUGUUGAGGAACAUUCAGUUGCUAGGGUGUGCUAAUUUAAUGUCUAGAUUUUAAAAUGGCGAAUAAGAUGGGUUUGAGAGUAGGAGUUCUAUGUUCUGAAUUUUGAUAGCAAAAGUAAGUUUCAAGAAUAUGGCUAUCAUGCAAGAGAACUAGAACAUAAUUAAAUGAACAAGCCCAAGAAAAGUGAAAACCUAUCACUUGUCGUGAAGCGGACGACCAGAAUUACUCGGAGGCUGGGGCGACGAUCAAGGGCACGGCUGCGGCAGAUGAACUCUCGAAAUGGCUCCAAUUGGUUCUCAACACAGCAACUCGGUAGGUCUGAUCUCUGUAACUCUGAAAAGAUGUGACGAGCCUGAUGACAGUGGCCUGUUUGCAGAAAAAAGAGGGGCAGCGGGCUGUAGGCCUGAAGAAGGGAUGAGUGACUUGGGCCAAUGAGCCGAAGGGUAGGAAAGUGGCGGUCUGGGCCUGAUGGGCCCACGGAUGAGAAUAUAGGGCGGCCUGGUGUGGUGUGGAAUCGGAUGAUUGGGCCUUUGAAGAGGAGUGGGGCUGAAAG